rnacentral:rRNA from 1 species
UUGACGGUACCCUCAAAGGAAGCACCGGCUAACUCCGUGCCAGCAGCCGCGGUAAUACGGAGGGGGCAAGCGUUGUUCGGAAUUAUUGGGCGUAAAGGGCGCGUAGGCGGCUUGUUAAGUCGGAUGUGAAAUCCCCGGGCUCAACCCGGGAAGUGCAUUUGAUACUGCCGGACUUGAGUGCGGGAGAGGGAAGUGGAAUUCCCGGUGUAGCGGUGAAAUCCGUAGAUAUCGGGAGGAACACCGGUGGCGAAGGCGGCUUCCUGGACCGAUACUGACGCUGAGGCGCGAAAGCGUGGGGAGCAAACAGGAUUAGAUACCCUGGUAGUCCACGCCGUAAACGAUGGGCACUAGGUGUCGGGGGUAUUGACCCCUUCAGUGCCGAAGCUAACGCAUUAAGUGCCCCGCCUGGGGACUACGA